AUUGAACGCUGGCGGCAGGCCUAACACAUGCAAGUCGAGCGGAUGAAGGGAGCUUGCUCCUGGAUUCAGCGGCGGACGGGUGAGUAAUGCCUAGGAAUCUGCCUGGUAGUGGGGGAUAACGUCCGGAAACGGGCGCUAAUACCGCAUACGUCCUGAGGGAGAAAGUGGGGGAUCUUCGGACCUCACGCUAUCAGAUGAGCCUAGGUCGGAUUAGCUAGUUGGUGGGGUAAAGGCCUACCAAGGCGACGAUCCGUAACUGGUCUGAGAGGAUGAUCAGUCACACUGGAACUGAGUCACGGUCCAGACUCCUACGGGAGGCAGCAGUGGGGAAUAUUGGACCAUGGGCGAAAGCCUGAUCCAGCCAUGCCGCGUGUGUGAAGAAGGUCUUCGGAUUGUAAAGCACUUUAAGUUGGGAGGAAGGGCAGUAAGUUAAUACCUUGCUGUUUUGACGUUACCAACAGAAUAAGCACCGGCUAACUUCGUG
rnacentral:rRNA from 1 species